GAUGAACGCUGGCGGCGUGCCUAAUACAUGCAAGUCGAGCGAACAGACGAGGAGCUUGCUCCUCUGACGUUAGCGGCGGACGGGUGUGUAACACGUGGAUAACCUACCUAUAAGACUGGGAUAACUUCGGGACACCGGCGCUAAUCCCGGAUAAUAUAUUGCACCGCAUGGUUCAAUAGUGAAAGACGGUUUUGCUGUCACUUAUAGAUGGAUCCGCGCCGCAUUAGCUAGUUGGUAAGGUAACGGCUUACCAAGGCGACGAUGCGUAGCCGACCUGCGAGGGGGAUCGGCCACACUGGAGCGUAGACACGGUCCAGACGCCUACGGGAGGCAGCAGUAGGGAAUCUUCCGCAAUAGGCGAAAGCCUGACGGAGCAACGCCGCGUGAGUGAUGAAGGUCUUCGGAGCGUAAAACUCUGUUAUGAGGGAAGAACAAAUGUGUAAGUAACUAUGCACGUCUUGACGGUACCUAAUCAGAAAGCCACGGCUAACUACGUG
rnacentral:rRNA from 1 species